UGAGGAAUUUUGCGCAAUGGGAGCAAUCCUGACGCAGCAACGCCGCGUGGGUGAUGAAGGCCUUCGGGUCGUAAAGCCCUGUCAGGUGGGAAGAAUGUCCUGGAAUUGAACAAGUUUCGGGAGUGACGGUACCACCAGAGGAAGCACCGGCUAACUCCGUGCCAGCAGCCGCGGUAAUACGGAGGGUGCGAGCGUUAUUCGGAAUUACUGGGCGUAAAGCGCGUGUAGGCGGUCCUGCAAGUCUGAUGUGAAAGCCCCGGGCUUAACCUGGGAAGUGCAUUGGAAACUGCCGGACUUGAGUACUGGAGAGGAAGGGGGAAUUCCCGGUGUAGAGGUGAAAUUCGUAGAGAUCGGGAGGAAUACCAGUGGCGAAGGCGCCCUUCUGGACGGUUACUGACGCUGAGACGCGAAAGCGUGGGGAGCGAACA
rnacentral:rRNA from 1 species